UACGUAGGGUGCAAGCGUUAAUCGGAAUUACUGGGCGUAAAGCGUGCGCAGGCGGUGAUGUAAGACAGAUGUGAAAUCCCCGGGCUCAACCUGGGAACUGCAUUUGUGACUGCAUCGCUGGAGUGCGGCAGAGGGGGAUGGAAUUCCGCGUGUAGCAGUGAAAUGCGUAGAUAUGCGGAGGAACACCGAUGGCGAAGGCAAUCCCCUGGGCCUGCACUGACGCUCAUGCACGAAAGCGUGGGGAG
rnacentral:rRNA from 1 species